CCUCUCAGGUCAUGCAUGAAAUCAGAAGCAUGAGCACAACCUGUGAUUUAAAAUGAAACUGCACAAUUAAUAUUCUGGAUUGAGAUUCUAGAAAAGGGAAAGUUUGUAUCAAAACUAUUUCCAUGCUUUGAUGAUUACUCCAGCACCCUGGUCUAUCCUGCUAAGCAGGAGGAAAACGAAGAUAGAGAAACAGGUAACAGCCCGUUCUCUUUCCUAAGUCUUCCUUCCUUCUACCCAACUGAUGAAAUACAUAGUUUGGCAAUUAAAAAAAAUAAAAGGGAGGACUUCAGCUUCCCACAAGUUGGAGUACAUUUGUUUUUCUUUAUUUCUCUUGCUAAAUGCAAUGAAAAACAUGGGACAUUAUAUAUAAAACAAAGUUCUCUGCAAGGUGGAGAGAUGAAGGAAAACUGGCUCUAGGGACCUUGGGACCCAGAAACACCGGGAGUUGUCUGGAUUUUUCUUUUGCUUCAUAAAUCCCAGACUUGGAGCUGAAGAACCUUGUGACCUGGAAACGGAGGAGCACUACUCAACAAAAGAUGGCUCUCUCUAGCCAAAGGACAAGGAAAGAGACAGCCUCGUACAAACGGAAAAUUUAGACAAUAACUGCUGUACUCCAGCCAAACAUCACAGGAAAAAACUGUGCUCUCAUUUACACUCACAUGAGCAAAGGCCACAUGAAUGGCUGAUACUUCCACCCAUGUGAGGCUGCGGGGAAAGGCAGGAGAGGUGACAGAGGAAGCCUCCUAGAACAGAAGGAGUAAGACCCAGAGUCUCAUAACAUAAUACCCCAAAUGUUCAGUGUCCAUUGAAAUCACUCAUCAUGCCAAGAUCCAGUUAGGUCUCCAACCAGAGGGGAAAGGACAAGAAAUGACAACACUGAGAAGUCGAGAUGUUAGAAUUAUCUGAUAAAGCUUUGAGGCAGUCAUGUAAAAACACUCCAAAUAAUAACAAUCAUGCAAAUGAAAAAUAGUCUCCCAGCAAAGAAAUAUAAACUCUUGAUAAAUAAAAGAACCAAAUGAAAAUUUUAGAAAUAAAAAUAUAGUAAUCAAAAACUCAGUGGAUGGACUCAAAGCAGAAGAGAAGUCACAGAGGAAAGAAAUUUAUGAAGUGGAAGACAGAAUAGAAACUGCCUUAUUUCUAAACAGAAAAUGGAUUUUUAAAAAAUAAACAGGUCUCAAGAGACCUGUGACACUCAAACACAAAAAUCUAACAUUCAUGUCUUUAAGGUCCUGGGAAAAGAGAGAGAAGAUGGGGCAGAAAAGCAGAGAAAUAUUGCCUGAAAACUUUCCAAAUUGGGCAAAAGACAAACUCCAGAUUCAGGAAAUGAGAGAACCCUGACCAGGUGACCCUAUUUUAUUUGAUAUAUUUUGUUCUCACUGUUAAUUUUCAGCAAUUGUAUCCAUAUUUUACAGUUGUUUCAGUUAUAAUAUAGAAAGUUUAAACAAUAAAAUUAAUAAACUGGUAUAUAAAUCAAACAUAGAAUGCCACACUCAACAGAAUAUACAUUUAAGCACAUGAUAAUAGUCAUGCAUCACUUCAUGACAGGGACAUGUUCUCAGAAAUGCACUGUCAGGUGAUUUCCUCAUUCAACAAACAUGCUAGAGUGUGCUUAUGCAGACCCAGAUGGUAUAGCUUUCAAUGCACCUGGACUAUAUGGUAGGAACCAUCAUAUAUGCUCUGUCGUUCACUGAAGUUUAUAUGGUACGUGACUUUAGUUAAGUUGUGACUAUAUACUGGGCCAAAGUCCUUGGAAAUUUCAAGGGAUUGAACAUUGCAGAGAUCACGAUGUACCUUAGCAGAAAAAAAAUCCCUUUUAAAAAUUACAAACUCUAUUAUGUUUGGAAACACGUUGCUAAAUAACCAGUGGAGCAAAGAAAAAUUAUGAUGGGAAAUUUUUGAAUAUAUUGACAACUAUGGAAAAAUAUUGUGUAUCAAAAACUUGUGAAAUAAAGUAGAAAUUUUAAGGUAUCAGAUAUGUAUAUUAG
rnacentral:lncRNA from 1 species